CAACGUCGCACACACACAAGUAAAAUCAAGACUCACCAAACACUAUAUACUAAUCAAUGCAACUAUUAAGGAAGUCAUACAAUUGUCCACACAAUUAAUCAACAUUAACUAACCGAUAGCAUAACAUUUCAACAAUUUCGUCUCUACAGUCAGUGGUUAUGGUACGGUUAGUAACUAUUAUACAGUUUAGACAAUUAUGACUUUAAAGUUAUAAUAUCACUUUGAGAGAUAUACAGAAAAUGGAUGCCAUAAUUGGGCACUAUUUGCACAAUUAGUAUACUUUCAAGUUUUCUGUUAAGAUUUAAAAAAAAAAAAUAAUAAUAAUAAACCAAUCUGCAGCUCAAAAAUUCUACAGUGUUCUUGGUCCUCUCUGAUGUUAAACCUUCAAC